rnacentral:misc_RNA from 1 species
GGAGGGAUCAUUAACACGUUUUCACAAACGUAUCCUACCCCUAACCCCGUGAACCAAACCCAACUCCCUUCAUAGUUCUAGGACGAGUGAUAAUCAUCAGGGUGGAUUCCUUCUACACCAAACAGCCCGAGUAUGGACCGCAAUGACCUUCGGGUCUGCGUGGUGCCCAGCGGAGGUUGGGAAGGUCUAUGACUCGCUCUAGGGGCCCUUCGAGGCUCCAAUCCGCUAUGAAGUGUCUUUGCGACCACCUGGUAGUCUGCGCUGCUGUCUUUCAGACUGGGCUCUUUCGGGAGCUCGGACCCUGCCAGCAGUAGUGUAGCGUUCUGCCGAACCCCUUUUUUAACCCAACACAUUUUUAACCCCUUUAACAACAUACUAACAACUGAACCUAUUUCUCGAAUCGAUUCGAACCUUUUAGGGGAGAUGUCGAAGCUCGGAAAUUGAUAUACGUAAUGCUGAACAACUCUUAGCAAUGGAUAUCUUGGUUCUCGUAACGAUGAAGAACGCAGCGAAAUGCGAUACGUAAUGCGAAUUGCAGAAUUCAGUGAAUCAUCAAAUCUUUGAACGCAAAUGGCGCUCUCGGGAUAUGCCCGGGAGCAUGCCUCUCUGAGUAUCGGUUCUAUCAAUCGACGUCAGCGUGCUUACUCGCAAGGGUAACGACAUCGACAGACGGCGGAAAAUGAGCGUCUGGCUGCGCAAGCAUAGCUAGUCACUUUAAAUAGAUAGAAGCUUGGAUCGCACUGGAAAGUUCUCAAGCGUUCGCGCUUGGGAUUAGCAUGACUCCGAUAUGGGCUCUGCACUUUACUGGUGACGUGGAUAGAAGUACCACUUGCUGGUCUUUCAAAACGUCUGCUGGUGCUGUGCAUGUGGCUUGUGAGUGUGUGUGAACGUCUGGACCGUGAUUCCAUGUCUUGUCAAUCGAAUUCAUAGCAUGUUUCGGCAUGUUAUUCUUGAAUUAGAUCUCAGAUGAAGCAAGAGGACCCCCUGAAUUUAAGCAUAUUAUUAAGGGGAGGAAAAGGAACUAACAAGGAUUCCCCCAGUAACGGCGAGUGAAGCGGGAAAUAGCUCAAUCUGGGAAUCGAGAGUGGAAGCCCACGCCUCGAAUUGUAGCCUAGAGACGUGUUGUCAGCGUGUGACCUCGGUACAAGUCCUUUGAAACAGGGCAUCAUAGAGGGUGAGAAUCCCGUCCGUGACUGAGAGUUAGCCGCGUACGACGCAUGUUCGACGAGUCGAGUUGUUUGGGAUUGCAGCUCUAAAUGGGUGGUAAAUUUCAUCUAAAGCUAAAUAUCGACGAGAGACCGAUAGCGAACAAGUACCGUGAGGGAAAGAUGAAAAGAACUUUGAAAAGAGAGUUAAAAAGUACUUGAAAUUGUUAAGAGGGAAGCGCUAGCAAGCAGUCAUGACAUGCAGCUAUACUUAGUAGUGGACACCGAAAUCGACUGCGGACCAGAUCGCAAGACUGUGUCGGGAAGAGGACGAGUGGCUGCUGCGUCAUAUAGUUGUGUGUGGGUCAGAGUCAAUUCGGAUGCGCAGCUGAAGGCUGGUGGAAAGGUAGGGUCUCCGGACCUGUUAUAGUCCGCUAGCUGUACUGUGCUCUGGAUUGAGGAUUGAUAAUGGACGCCGUAAGGUUUCGGCGCGGCUCUUCUGUUGGGCGACAUGGCUCCGAGGACAAUGUCCUGUGGGUUGUGUUUGUUCGAUCCUGGGGGUCGCUGCCAGAUGUCCAUUCGCGAUUCUGACGAAAUGCUUGCUAUCGACCCGUCUUGAAACACGGACCAAGGAGUCUAACAUAUAUGCGAGUAUUUGGGUGCCAAACUCGGAUGCGUAAUGAAAGUAAAGGUAGCUUCGGCUGCUGAGGUAGGAAGGGUGUAACAACCUGGCACUAUCGACCGAUCGUCACUUGUGAUUGAUUUGAGUGCGAGCAUAUCUGUUGGGACCCGAAAGAUGGUGAUCUAUGCCUGAACAGGGUGAAGCCAGGGGAAACUCUGGUGGAGGCUCGUAGCGAUACUGACGUGCAAAUCGUUCGUCUGAUUUGGGUAUAGGGGCGAAAGACUAAUCGAACCAUCUAGUAGCUGGUUCCCUC